CGGAGGGUGCAAGCGUUAUCCGGAAUCACUGGGUUUAAAGGGUGCGUAGGCGGAUUUUCAAGUCAGAGGUGAAAGCUUCCCGCUCAACGGGAAAAUGGCCUUUGAUACUGUUAAUCUUGAGUACAGUUGAGGUGGGCGGAAUGUGUGGUGUAGCGGUGAAAUGCUUAGAUAUCACACAGAACACCGAUUGCGAAGGCAGCUCACUAAACUGUUACUGACGCUGAGGCACGAAAGCGUGGGGAGCAAACAGGAUUAGAUACCCUGGUAGUCCACGCCCUAAACUAUGAUCACUCGACAUGUGCGAUAUUACAGUACGUGUCCAAGCGAAAGCGUUAAGUGAUCCACCUGGGGAGUACGAUCGCAAGAUUG
rnacentral:rRNA from 1 species